rnacentral:rRNA from 1 species
CCUACGGGUGGCUGCAGUGGGGAAUAUUGCACAAUGGGCGCAAGCCUGAUGCAGCCAUGCCGCGUGUAUGAAGAAGGCCUUCGGGUUGUAAAGUACUUUCAGUCGUGAGGAAGGUGUUAAGGUUAAUAACCUUAGCAAUUGUCGUUAGCGACAGCACAAGCACCGCCUCCCUCCUUUCCCCCCUCCCCUCUCCUACGUCCGCUCCGAGCGUUAUUCGGAAUUACUUGGCGUAAAGGGCACGCAGGCGGUUAAUUAAGUUGGAUGUGAAAUCCCCGGGCUUAACCUGGGAAUGGCAUUCAAGACUGGUUAGCUAGAGUCUUGUAGAGGGGGGUAGAAUUCCAUGUGUAGCGGUGAAAUGCGUAGAGAUGUGGAGGAAUACCGGUGGCGAAGGCGGCCCCCUGGACAAAGACUGACGCUCAGGUGCGAAAGCGUGGGGAGCAAACAGGAUUAGAUACCCCAGUAGUG